rnacentral:rRNA from 1 species
AUGAACGCUGGCGGCGUGCCUCAUACAUGCCAGUCGAGCGCACAGACGAGGAGCUUGCUCCUCUGACGUUAGCGGCGGACGGGUGAGUAACACGUGGAUAACCUACCUAUAAGACUGGGAUAACUUCGGGAAACCGGAGCUAAUACCGGAUAAUAUAUUGAACCGCAUGGUUCAAUAGUGAAAGACGGUUUUGCUGUCACUUAUAGAUGGAUCCGCGCCGCAUUAGCUAGUUGGUAAGGUAACGGCUUACCAAGGCAACGAUGCGUAGCCGACCUGAGAGGGUGAUCGGCCACACUGGAACUGAGACACGGUCCAGACUCCUACGGGAGGCAGCAGUAGGGAAUCUUUCGCAAUGGGCGAAAGCCUGACGGAGCAACGCCGCGUGAGUGAUGAAGGUCUUCGGAUCGUAAAACUCUGUUAUUAGGGAAGAACAAAUGUGUAAGUAACUAUGCACGUCUUGACGGUACCUAAUCAGAAAGCCACGGCUAACUACGUG